rnacentral:rRNA from 1 species
AACGAACGCUGGCGGCAUGCCUAACACAUGCAAGUCGAACGAGAUCUUCGGGUCUAGUGGCGCACGGGUGCGUAACGCGUGGGAAUCUGCCCUUUGGUUCGGAAUAACAGUUGGAAACGACUGCUAAUACCGGAUGAUGACGAAAGUCCAAAGAUUUAUCGCCAGAGGAUGAGCCCGCGUAGGAUUAGCUAGUUGGUGUGGUAAAGGCGCACCAAGGCGACGAUCCUUAGCUGGUCUGAGAGGAUGAUCAGCCACACUGGGACUGAGACACGGCCCAGACUCCUACGGGAGGCAGCAGUGGGGAAUAUUGGACAAUGGGCGAAAGCCUGAUCCAGCCAUGCCGCGUGAGUGAUGAAGGCCUUAGGGUUGUAAAGCUCUUUCGCUGGGGAAGAUAAUGACGGUACCCAGAGAAGAAGCCCCGGCUAACUUCGUGCCAGCCGCCGCGGUAA